GUGUUGUUCUGACCUUUGGUUAGACACAGAUACAGGUGGUGCAUGGUUGUCGUCAGCUCGUGUCGUGAGAUGUUGGGUUAAGUCCCGCAACGAGCGCAACCUUAUAUCUAGUUGCCAGCAGUAAGAUGGGGACUCUAGAUAGACUGCCAGUGAUAAACUGGAGGAAGGUGGGGAUGACGUCAAAUCAUCAUGCCCCUUAUGACUUGGGCUACACACGUGCUACAAUGGAUAGGAACAAAGAGAAGCGAGCUCGCGAGAGUAAGCAAACCUCACAAAACUAUUCUCAGUUCGGAUUGUAGUCUGCAACUCGACUACAUGAAGCUGGAAUCGCUAGUAAUCGCGAAUCAGAAUGUCGCGGUGAAUACGUUCCCGGGUCUUGUACACACCGCCCGUCACACCACGAGAGUUUGUAACACCCGAAGACGGUGGCCUAACCUUUUAGGAGGGAGCCGGUCACGGUGGGACAGAUGAUUGGGGUGAAGUCGUAACAAGGUAAGCGUAGAUGA
rnacentral:rRNA from 1 species